AGAGUUUGAUCCUGGCUCAGAAUCAACGCUGGCGGCGUGCCUCAGACAUGCAAGUCGAACGCGAAAGUCCCCUUCGGGGGGCAAGUAGAGUGGCGCACGGGUGAGUAACACGUAGGUAAUCUACCUUUGGAUUGGGAAUAACCACCGGAAACGGUGGCUAAUACCGAAUAAUGCAGCGGCACCUAAUGGUGACAGUUGUUAAAGCGGGGGAUCGCAAGACCUCGCGUCUGAAGAGGAGCCUGCGGCGGAUUAGCUAGUUGGUAAGGUAACGGCUUACCAAGGCGAUGAUCCGUAGCCGGCCUGAGAGGGCGGUCGGCCACACUGACACUGACAUACGGGUCAGACUCCUACGGGAGGCAGCAGUCGGGAAUUUUGGGCAAUGGGCGAAAGCCUGACCCAGCAACGCCGCGUGAAGGAUGAAAUCCCUCGGGAUGUAAACUUCGCAAGAACGGGAAGAAUAAGUAAGAGUUAAUAUCUCUUAUGAUGACGGUACUGUUUGUAAGCUCCGGCUAACUCCGUGCCAGCCGCCGCGGUAAUAC
rnacentral:rRNA from 1 species